AGGAAAGCAGGGGAUCGCAAGACCUUGCGCUUUUGGAGCGGCCGAUGUCUGAUUAGAUAGUUGGUGAGGUAAAGGCUUACCAAGGCUUCGAUCAGUAGGUGGUAUGAGAGGACGACCAGCCACACUGGGACUGAGACACGGCCCAGACUCCUACGGGAGGCAGCAGUGGGGAAUUUUGGACAAUGGGGGAAACCCUGAUCCAGCCAUGCCGCGUGAGUGAAGAAGGCCUUCGGGUUGUAAAGCUCUUUCAGCCGGAACGAAAAGGUUACGGUUAAUACCCGUGACUAAUGACGGUACCGGAAGAAGAAGCACCGGCUAACUACGUGCCAGCAGCCGCGGUAAUACGUAGGGUGCGAGCGUUAAUCGGAAUUACUGGGCGUAAAGCGUGCGCAGGCGGUUUUGUAAGUCAGAUGUGAAUCCCCGGGCUCAACCUGGGAACUGCGUUUGAAACUACAAGGCU
rnacentral:rRNA from 1 species